UGGGGAAUAUUGGACAAUGGGGGGAACCCUGAUCCAGCCAUGCCGCGUGUGUGAAGAAGGCCUUUUGGUUGUAAAGCACUUUAAGCGAGGAGGAGGCUACUCUAGUUAAUACCUAGAGAUAGUGGACGUUACUCGCAGAAUAAGCACCGGCUAACUCUGUGCCAGCAGCCGCGGUAAUACAGAGGGUGCGAGCGUUAAUCGGAUUUACUGGGCGUAAAGCGUGCGUAGGUGGCCAAUUAAGUCAAAUGUGAAAUCCCCGAGCUUAACUUGGGAAUUGCAUUCGAUACUGGUUGGCUAGAGUAUGGGAGAGGAUGGUAGAAUUCCAGGUGUAGCGGUGAAAUGCGUAGAGAUCUGGAGGAAUACCGAUGGCGAAGGCAGCCAUCUGGCCUAAUACUGACACUGAGGUACGAAAGCAUGGGGAGCAAACA
rnacentral:rRNA from 1 species